GAUGAACGCUGGCGGCGUGCCUAAUACAUACAAGUCGAGCGAGCGGCGGACGGGUGAGUAACACGUGAUAACCUACCUAUAAGACUGGGAUAACUUCGGGAAACAGGUGCUAAUACCGCAUACUGAUGGAUGGACCCGCGGUGCAUUAGCUAGUUGGUGAGAUAACGGCUCACCUAGGCGACGAUCCCUAGCUGGUCUGAGAGGAUGACCAGCCACACGGGAACUGAGACACGGUCCAGACUCCUACGGGAGGCAGCAGUGGGGAAUAUUGCACAAUGGGCGAAAGCCUGAUGCAGCCAUGCCGCGUGGAUGAAGAAGGCCUUCGGGUUGUAAAGUACUUUCAGCGGGGAGGCGUUACCCGCAGAAGAAGCACCGGCUAACUCCGUGCCAGCAGCCGCGGUAAUAC
rnacentral:rRNA from 1 species